rnacentral:rRNA from 1 species
CAGCCGCCGCGGUAAAACGUAGGUGGCAAGCGUUGUCCGGAAUUAUUGGGCGUAAAGGGCUCGCAGGCGGUUUCUUAAGUCUGAUGUGAAAGCCCCCGGCUCAACCGGGGAGGGUCAUUGGAAACUGGGAAACUUGAGUGCAGAAGAGGAGAGUGGAAUUCCACGUGUAGCGGUGAAAUGCGUAGAGAUGUGGAGGAACACCAGUGGCGAAGGCGACUCUCUGGUCUGUAACUGACGCUGAGGAGCGAAAGCGUGGGGAGCGAACAGGAUUAGAUACCCCUGUAGUCCCUGUCUCUUAUAA